UCUUUUUUCUUUAAUUGUAUGAAUGUAUACUGCUGCUGAGAAGAAAGUUGUUUUGUUUGGGAAAUAAGAGGCUUCUUCUCCUUCAUUGGGAUGCAUCAAUUCGUGACCCUGAGUCGGGGGGAUGCCACCACCUCUGGUGGAGAGGAGGAAGAGGUGGUUCACUACGAAGAUCACGAUACUUCCACCACAACUCUCAUCACGACUGCUCCAGGCACCACUGUGAACAUGAAUUCCCUCGGAUCACACUUCCUCACGGAUCCGGAUGACUUGGAGCAGAGCAUUGGGAAGAUUGAAGUCGAAACCAUGCCCAUUGAAGUUGUUGUAAAAAAGAAAGAAGGCAGUGACGGUGAGAAAAAAGUAUGUUUAUGGCCUAUUGGAGGCGGUAUAUCCUGUGGAAAGACUUUUACAAAGUUUGAUAACUUAAAAAGACAUUUAGCUGAAGCACACAAAGGCUCCCGGCCGUUUGCAUGUAACCUUUGUGAUAAAUCUUACGGUAGAAAAGACUAUUUGCAGCGUCAUUUAAAGUCUCAUGCGGUGGCAUCUAAUUUUUCCAUAAACAUGAGUUCUCAUCAAUCCACCCCUACUGUUAUUACCACAACAACAUCCGCUUCCAAUCUAGCUCCUAACAGCGUACAACAUUUAUCUGAUGUAAUAUCUAAGGUACAAAUGACCAAUCCUAAGCAGAAUAUUUUGGUUCAAUUACAGCCAAACAAUGUAUCACCUCAUAUCGUUACUACUCCCAUCACUCAGACAAUUUCACCCCAACAAGCACAGUCCCAACAGCAGAACCCUCUUCCCAUGUUUAAUGUUCAAUUGACAGGUGGAAGUAUCACAAAACCUGGUGGUAGUAAAAUUUGUCGGUGGGUUCAAAAUGAUGGUACGGUCUGUGGUAAGGCCUUUUCCAAGUUAGAUAGUCUUCGGAGACAUGUAACAGAACUCCACAAAGGAGUCCGGCCCUACGCUUGUAAUCUUUGUGACAAAAAUUAUGGUAGGCGUGAUUACCUCGAAAGGCAUAUGCGUACUCAUGAUGCCAAUAACGCAAAUAAAAGAAAGGCUGGUCCUAUAGAUUGGGGGCCCAACUCGAGUGUGCAAGUUAUAACGAGUGGAGGAGUUUUGUCUUCUGAUCAAAUAGUUCAAAGAAUUCCCAAAAAGAAAAGAAAAGACAUACCGGCCGAAGAGAAAAAAAUUUGCCUCUGGGUCUUAGAGGACGGAACUGCGUGUGGAAAAACUUUUACCAAGUUUGAUAGUUUAAAACGCCAUGUCUCUGAGGCUCACAAAGGCAUAAGGCCCUACGCUUGUACAUUAUGUGGCAAAAAUUAUGGGAGGAGAGAUUAUCUUCUCCGGCAUCUUAAGUCUCACAAUGAAACAGAUACUGUUGGAAUAUCUGCGACUCGUGCUCCCGCAACUCAGCUGGUGAGCCAAGUUGUUGGAACAAAUAAUACCCUUAAUUUUGCACCUUCUGGAGUUCAGCAAACAACCGUUCUCCAACAAGUUGCAGCCGUCGUCUCAUCACCUCAACUUGUGCGUACCGUAACCUCACAAACUCCUCAAUUGGUAUCAUUAGAAAACAACGCACCAACCACAGUAACGUUUACCACCUCUCCAGUUCAGCCAACUUCUGGGACGAAUGGCACUCAAAGUAUUACACAAACUCUAGUGACAUCACCCAAAAAAAGGAACGACGAUAAGAAAACAUGCCGGUGGGUUCUAGAAAAUGGAACCGUCUGUGGAAGGAACUUUUCCAAGUUUGAUUCACUUAGGAGACACGUUCAGGAGUUGCACAAAGGAAUUCGACCAUUUGUUUGUUCAUUAUGCGAUAAGUCAUAUGGUCGCAGAGAUUAUUUACAAAGACAUAUGAAGUCGCAUGAUAAUGACAGCAUAGCUGGAGCAAUAAAUGUAUCCUCUCCUGGACCAGCGACAGUUGUUGUAACUCAAUGAAAACUUUAACAAGGUUUUUUCUGUGCACUUUUUUUUCCACUAGUUAUAUUGAAUUAUUAUUCUAAUUAAUUAUAUUAUUAUAUGUGUUACUACUAAUAUGUUAAAAAUACUCAUUUGUAUUGUGUUAUAUUUAAAAAAAAAAAAAGAACAUAUUUUGUGUUGAACAUUCUAUUGACAAACCUCAAUAAUUAAUUUAAUUUCCCCCCUCUCCCAUAUUAACUUGUCGUCUGUAGUAAAAAAAAUCCAUGAGUUUAACUGUUAAUAUACAAAUAAUUUAAACACGCAUUGCCUGUCAUGAUUGGUAUUUAUCUAACAUGAUCAUUACCUCAAUUAUAUUUUGUAGAAGUGUAGAACAGCCUCUUAUCUAUAUGGGUUUACACUCGUGUAAAGUGUUAUUUUCAACAUUUGUAAAAGUAAUUAAACUGUUCUCUCAAAUUAUUAUUUUUCCAAAGUUUUAUUUUGUCUUUAGAUAUGAAAUGACUGUAAUAUAGCUAAAUUAUAUGACGUAUUCAUUAAUUUGAUUGUUUCAUUCACAUAAUCUUGCUGCCUUCCAUGUCAUAUUUAUUCAGAUAAUGAUUUAUAAAUUCACAAGGAUCUAUUGACAUUAUAUACAAUUUGAACAAUUAUAGUUAUAAUUAAUUAAUUGAUGUUACAAGUCUUGAGUAAGCUGUUUUUAUUUAUAGCUGUGGAUAUGCAAUUUUUAUUAUAAAAAGUCCCUCCUAUUCAUAUCAAUUGAUGACUUUCGAGUGUGCAAAUCACUCUUAAUGUAUUUCUAUAUCAAUUUCAUUAACUUGACUAGAGUUUACUCAAUUGCAUAGUAUAGGAAUCAAUUAAAUUAAUUGUUUUAAAUUCCUCUCUCUGAUUCCGUCAUUUUUUGUGACAUCAUCCAUUUAUGUUUUAAUUGAUUCAACUUGACCCUAUUCAUGAUGUAAUCUUUUUGACCUCUUGUUUAAUUGACAAAUGAUAACGUACAGCAAGAUAAUGGUUAGUUUCUAUAUGGCUUUACAACUAAAGUAUAUUUUGCAAAGACAUGUAGUCUUAUCUAUUUUUAUCGAAUUGUAUUAUGUUCAUAGAGUGACAUUUGUAAUAAUUAAUUAAGUAGAAAUAAUAUGCCAGUAACUCUAAUUAAGUUGGCCUCUAAUCAUGAUUUGAGAAUGUAAUUAAUUUGCUAAAGUUGUAAAAUCACUAAUUAUGUUGUCUCAAACAACAAACAUACUACUAUUAUGUAAUUAUUUCUUAAUUGUGCAUAAAUCCCCAUUUGAAUUGACGUUUGAAUACGUAUUAUGUUCCAUGAAAGCAGGAUACAGUUUAGAGAUUAUGAUGCAUAUUAUGCAGAUUCCGGCAAACUAAAGAUGAACAGGGUUUUACAACUUAAAAUUAUAUCAAUCUUAAUAUUGCGGAUCCUCGUAUGUUUACAUUUAUGCAUGGGACCUGAGCAAUUGUCUGCUGUGCCCUACCCCCUCUUAAAAUUGACAUUGACACAAUGCCCCCGUUUAACAAAUGACUUAUUAAUUAUGUAUGUGUAUGUGUUAUGGAUUUCAAAAAUCCUACUCUGGGAUUAUAAUUUUAGUUGAAGAUGCAGUAUGUGGUAUACAUAAUUUAUAAAAUACAUUUUCUUCCUCAUGGACGGAUUUUAAAAUUUAUGCUAGGGAUAAAUGGGAUGUUAUUCGAUAAAUUUGGAUUAUUUAUUUCGUGGCUGUAAAAAAAAAACAAA
rnacentral:misc_RNA from 1 species